CACGGAACUCCUCAGUUUGGGGUGCAUGACAGGCAUCAGCCAGAAGAGAUAUGAGGGAUUUAAAAAAGAAAUUCCCAUGUAAAUGAAAAAGUCAGUUAGAGAUGGCCAACAAAGUGUGGAUAUCAUCUUAUUGCAAGAGCAGCUGAACUGACCAGGAAAAGGAUCAAACCAGUAACAACAACCAGUGCAGAACAAGUAUACAAGCUCAAGAUAAAGGAACUGAGCAAACAGAACAGAGACAGACUGACCAAGAAUGCAGACAUCAUGGUGCACUGUGGAAAGGAACAUGAAAAGCAGAAAGAAAAAUGCCCAGCCUACCGGCAAUGGGCAAAGGUGUGUGGGAAACGGAACCAAUGCAGCAGGCUUUGCAGAAAAUGGCUGUCUUAAGCAGGGAACUGAAUGAGAUUAGGGAGGACAUUCCAUGGAAGAAAACAUGAAGACCCUUUGGGAGAAGCAGACAAGCAGUAUAUUAUGACCUAGCAUUACUGGUGGAGCACAGCAACUGUGGGGGCUUGCUGAAGACUGCAUUGGCACUUGACCCAGUUAAGACACUGCUUAAGGGCUGGUUGGAAUUGUGCCUGUCUGCCAUGCUCCUUUCCUUCCCAACACACAGGAAGAAAGAAGUCAGAGAAAUGAGAAGACAGAAAGAAGGGAAGCUGAACUGAAAGGAGUUUUCAUUGCCCACUGUUGAUGAAAACAGUUGAGAUAAAGUAUUCACUUUAGUUUUGUAUCACAUACCCAUUU